rnacentral:rRNA from 1 species
AAGUUUGAUCAUGGCUCAAGAUGAACGCUAGCUACAGGCUUAACACAUGCAAGUCGAGGGGAAACGACAUCGAAAGCUUGCUUUUGAUGGGCGUCGACCGGCGCACGGGUGAGUAACGCGUAUCCAACCUGCCCACCACUUGGGGAUAACCUUGCGAAAGUAAGACUAAUACCCAAUGAUAUCUCUAGAAGACAUCUGAAAGAGAUUAAAGAUUUAUCGGUGAUGGAUGGGGAUGCGUCUGAUUAGCUUGUUGGCGGGGUAACGGCCACCAAGGCUACGAUCAGUAGGGGUUCUGAGAGGAAGGUCCCCCCANAUUGGAACUGAGACACGGUCCAAACUCCUACGGGAGGCA